CUGGCAUAAAAAAUCCUUCGAUUGGAGUAUAUUGUAGACAGCAAACUCCAUCGUGCCACGGCAAUGGCGUUCCAGCCUUUCUUGCCCCUUGUAGCCCUGCUCUGCUCGUUGGUCGCUCCACCAUCGUCAGCUGUGCCCAGCCUCCACCCUGUGGUGCUGGUGCCGGGCAACACCUGCAGCCAGCUGGAGGCGCGGCUCACCGACGAGUACGAACCUCCGCCGGCGUCGGGCUGCGGGGUCCCAAGGCAAGGGCGUGGGUGGUUCCGGCUGUGGGACAACUUCACGGCGCUGCAGGAGGACCUCUCCCUGUUCCGGUGCUACGCGGACCAACUGCGGCUCGUCUACGACCCCCCCGCCGGUGACUACCGUAACGUGCCGGGCGUCAAGACCCGCGUCAUGGCUUUCGGCACCACCCGCAGCUUCGGCUUCAACGACCCUGCCCGAAAGAAUGUGUGCAUGGAAGGGCUGGUGGAGGCACUGGAACGCGUGGGAUACAGAGAGGGAAUGAACCUAUUCGGCGCCCCGUAUGACUUCCGGCACGCGCCGGCCGCUCCUGGGCUGGCUUCCCGGGCCUUCUCCGGCUUCAGCUCCAGCCUCAGGCUCCUGGUGGAACGCGCAAGCCGAAGGAACGGGAACAAGCCGGUCGUCCUCGUGACGCACAGCCUGGGCGGCCUCUUCGCCACAGUGUUCCUCGACCGGACACCCCUGCGGUGGCGCAGGAGGUACGUCAAGCACCUCGUCAUGCUCUGCCUCGGCGUCGGCGGAUCGCCGCUCAACAUGUGGCCCCUCGCCUCCAAGCCGCUGGCCUCCAACCCCACGUCGCUGCAGGCCGCCGUACUGACCUACGGGAACAGGAGCUUCGCGAGCAUGUUCUCGCUCCUGCCGUCCCCCAGGGUGUACGGCCGCACGCCCCUGGUGAUCACGCGGGACAGGAACUACUCUGCCGAUGACAUGCCGGAGUUCCUCGCGGCGGCAGGUUUCUCCGGGGACGAGGUGGCGCGGUACAGAACGAGGGCGCUGCCGGUGACGCUCAGCCUCCGGGCGCCGCUCGUGCCGAUGACGGCCAUGAACGGUGUUGGCGUGCUCACCGUGGAUCAGCUGGUGUUCUGGGACGGUAACUUCAGUGGGAAGCCGCAGUUGGUGAACGGCGAUGGCGAUGGCCAGAUCAACUUGGUGACCGUCUUGGCGUUGCAAAGGUUGGUAGGGGCUGAUCCGGACCAGCCUUACUUCAAGUCGAUUUUGAUCCCCAACACGACGCACAAGGGUAUGAUCUCGGACCAAUCUGCGCUCAAGCGUGUCGUCAGUGAAAUCCUAAUUGGAGCCUCCUCUUGAAUAUGAUAGGGGACAUUAUCUAAAGAGCAGUUUUAACAUGGUCCCUCUUAUCCCCUCUUUUCACAUGAAAGGAUGAUAUGACAAAGUGAGCAAAAUAAUUUGGUACUGGUAUGGUGCUUAGGGAUUCAGAGGGUGCAGUGAUAUUUUUUCAGCUUACAGACAUUUGUUUCAUUGCAAAGACGUCCUCAAGGCAGAAAUUAGUGCUUUACAGGAAGGCCUGUCAGUAAGCAUGCAACGGUCGAAUCUUCCUAUUAUGACACAGUCUACAGCUCUAUUGCUAUUGUCGCGUUGACAGAUGGCUCGCUGGAUCGUUCUGCCUGUGGACAUCUUGUUGUGGAAAUUAAGGAGCUCCUGGAUACACGUGGGUUUAUUCUGUUGAAGAUUGAUGGUAAUCAAAAUAGGGUUGCUCAUUGUUUUGCUAAUAUUGGUGGUACUGGUUGGUAGCAUCGCUUGUUGGUUGUGCCGUGUGCCAAAGAGUGUCUCAAAUCAUGUAUUAGCAGACUGUAACACUAUUAUUUAGGAAUAAAACUCACUCGCGCAAAAACAAGUGAGCAGAAUAAUUGGUAUUUUUUUAAUUAGCAUGUCCAUGUAUUUUUUAUAUUUGUUCUAUUAAGCAACCAUUAUAUACUA